rnacentral:sRNA from 1 species
AUUUUAGAAGUUUUACUUUAGUAACUAAUCGUAUAGUUAAUGCGGAGAGAUUUUGGGAAGGUAGUUAAAUGCAAAUAUUUAAUUCGAAGAUUUACUUUCUAAUUAUCAAAAAUAAUUAUUAAAUAUCAGUGGCAGCCACUGUAAAUAAGUCCCAACUUGAAGAUUUAUUUCACAGAAUGGCUGCAAAAAUAUAUAUGUAGAUUCUCAAACAACAAUGCUUUGAAGACGCCGUUGUCCAAGACUUCUUGCGACAACGAUACUUCUU